UCUGAAAAUUCUAAGUUGGAAUUCUGAGGAAGGUAACUGCCAUUAAGGGGUUGGAUUGAGACUCUAGAGAAAAAAAAAUACCUCCAAAAUCCAGCUCUUGCCUCCUUUUGACCUUCAGCCUGUUCCUGAGAGAAACCAGCCAGUUCCUGAAUGUCUUUUUGAUCCUAUACUCUGACACACCAAGCCACAACAACCUGAAAUGCUCAGGUCACCAUUAGCAAUGCCUGAGGACAGAAGACUUUUGGCAUCAGGACUCCCCAAAUUCCAACCUAAAACAAAGAUCUGUUCUGUGCUCCAUUCUGACCUCUGAAUAGGAAAGAAAAGAAAAAGAAUCCCAGCCAAUUAUCUUGGGGGCAGCCUCAGUCACUGAAAAUGAGUCAGGAGUUAUUCCCAUCCUCUGAAGAAUGGUGCCUGUCAAAUACCCCCAAACAAAGACUCACAUCCUAUACUUUGUCAAAUGCUGGGGGAUGAAUGAAAAUGAAUGAAAAAAUUACUUAACUACUUACUCCGGCUUUAAAACAUUGUGAUAAUUGCUAAAGACUAAAUAUGAAAAUAAAAGAAGAAAGUCCCUGUG